GUAACUACUGCGCUCGCUCCCCUACCCACCGGGGCUUUAUAUAAAGCAGAGCCGGACGCCAUCGAAUCAACCUGCUCUCUACCAGACCUCAGCGGAGCAGUUUUCACACAGAACAGAGGACUCCGGACUCUGGGAAUGUUGGAAACGUAAGCACUACUUUAUUACAGCUAGUGAAAAGCAAGAAACAAAAUGAAAGAACCCUUCUGCCCACCCCGAAUGCACUGAUCCCGAUCCAGGUGGCUGCAUUUACAGGGGAAAGGUAUCAAUGUCCAUGGCUGAUUCCAGGUCCUGUCACCCCAAACAGAAAAGAGCCUUCCUAAGUUAAAAGGAAAUUACAAACAAGCAAACAGACAGACAGAGAAAUGAAUCCAGUUCUAAAAGCAAAUGACCCAGCCCCAGGAAAUCCCAGGAUCGGAGUUUAAUGGGAGAUCUCUAGGGGCUGAUCUUCUCCCUGCAAAAAUCCAAGGCGCUCACGUUCCUUCAGGCCUAUCAGACAAACCACUAAGCGAGGGAGAGUGAAUCCUUACCCAGAGAUAUCAGCGUCUCAUAAUUCUCCU